rnacentral:rRNA from 1 species
CACGUAGGGUGCGAGCGUUGUCCGGAAUUAUUGGGCGUAAAGAGCUCGUAGGCGGUGUGUCGCGUCGAUCGUGAAAACUUGGGGCUUAACCCUGAGCUUGCGGUCGAUACGGGCAUCACUUGAGUUCGGCAGGGGAGACUGGAAUUCCUGGUGAUAGCGGUGAAAUGCGCAGAUAUCAGGAGGAACACCGGUGGCGAAGGCGGGUCUCUGGG